GACGAACGCUGGCGGCGUGCUUAACACAUGCAAGUCGAACGGAAAGGCCCUGCUUUUGUGGGGUGCUCGAGUGGCGAACGGGUGAGUAACACGUGAGUAACCUGCCCUUGACUUUGGGAUAACUUCAGGAAACUGGGGCUAAUACCGGAUAGGAGCUCCUGCUGCAUGGUGGGGGUUGGAAAGUUUCGGCGGUUGGGGAUGGACUCGCGGCUUAUCAGCUUGUUGGUGGGGUAGUGGCUUACCAAGGCUUUGACGGGUAGCCGGCCUGAGAGGGUGACCGGCCACAUUGGGACUGAGAUACGGCCCAGACUCCUACGGGAGGCAGCAGUGGGGAAUAUUUGACCAUGGGCGGAAGCCUGAUGCAGCAACGCCGCGUGGGGGAUGACGGCCUUCGGGGUGUAAACCGCUUUCGCCUGUGACGGAGCGUGAGUGAAGGUAAUGGGUAAAGAAGCACCGGCUAAAUACGUG
rnacentral:rRNA from 1 species